GAUGAACGCUGGCGGCGUGCUUAACACAUGCAAGUCGAACGGUGAACACGGAGCUUGCUCUGUGGGAUCAGUGGCGAACGGGUGAGUAACACGUGAGCAACCUGCCCCUGACUCUGGGAUAAGCGCUGGAAACGGCGUCUAAUACUGGAUAUGUGACGUGACCGCAUGGUCUGCGUUUGGAAAGAUUUUUCGGUUGGGGAUGGGCUCGCGGCCUAUCAGCUUGUUGGUGAGGUAAUGGCUCACCAAGGCGUCGACGGGUAGCCGGCCUGAGAGGGUGACCGGCGACACUGGGACUGAGACACGGCCCAGACUCCUACGGGAGGCAGCAGUGGGGAAUAUUGCACAAUGGGCGCAAGCCUGAUGCAGCAACGCCGCGUGAGGGAUAACGGCCUUCGGGUUGUAAACCUCUUUUAGCAGGGAAGAAGCGAAAGUGACGGUACCUGCAGAAAAAGCGCCGGCUAACUACGUG
rnacentral:rRNA from 1 species